rnacentral:lncRNA from 1 species
UCAAUGCUGAGUGAGAUGCUGCACAGCCCUACCAGGGGAGGACAGACAUGAAAUAAAUUCGAAGUUAUUUCAAGCUGUAUCUGAGAGAUGCUGUAUCUGCACAGCUGCCAUCACCUCUCUGCACAGCUCAGCUCAGGGUCGAGUCUGUCACAGCAGUCUCUGGUGCUGGGAGCUGGUCAACAGGAGCUGUGGAUGGCCGAAGAGCUGCUGCUGACACGAGGACAAAGAGUUUAGAACCAAAGAUGUCCUGAUGACAGAAGUGCUCUCAGAGGAAGAGGUCACCACAUCCAACUUUCCUUUUAUGUAAGACCAAAAUGUAAAACCCAUGCUGCUACGAUUUGGGUUUAGCUGUCAUUUUAAGUACCGCUUAAAUCUGUGGUCCGCAGAUUUCAUUCCCAGGAGGUUCCACGUUGCCUCCCAGCUGCUGUUCCUUGGUUUCCUCUUUGUGGGGUAUAGUCAGGGACCGGGUAAUUGCAGGUUCUGCAAUGCGUACGUUGGCUGCGUUCAGCAGGGAUAACACUUCCCUGCUCCAAAACAGAGUGGUUUCUGUGGUAAACGAAGGCUAUGAAUAGCAGUUGGUGUCUGGACACAUGCUUAAAAUUGGUUCUUGGUGAGACACUUUGACAUAAUGGACCACAGGGUUUUGUUACAUCCUAUAAAACAAUACCGAUCCAAUUUAAGGCCCAUGGGAACCUUUCCACUGGCUGUGCAAGGCUUUGGUUACUCGCUCUGACCAUUUGUAACUUCACAUUGUGUUGCUGCUGCCGUAGCUCACGCAGCUUGCUUCACUUACCUUAUGUGAACGCUGUACUCGUUACUCUGCACGAGCCGGGAGAGAAGC